ensembl:misc_RNA predicted gene, 27366
GGUGUUCCUGGUUUGGGAAGUAUAAAUCCCGUGGGAAGUCAACUGGAGGACAUUUUACGCAUCACUCAUCCUAUUAUGAGCCUGCUGCUCCUUCCUCUCUUGACAAGG